CAAAGCCUUGACAUCCAAAGGAAGAGCUGAGGAUGCCAGAGGACGAAGGAACCAGGUGAUCGAAUGGUACAGCAAUGAGGAAACUGAGGCACACGGAGGGCACAUGUCCUGUGCUCACAGAGCCAGGAGGUACCAGAGGGGAACUGAACCAAG